UAGACUUUUUGCUUAGGGAAAUUCCACCCAGCCUCCUGGAACCUGGGGACAUUUGCUCAGUGUACUGUGGGGAAGUGGUCUGAGCCUAAAGCAAGAAUACCACUUUCAAAAUAAAAUGACUAAAUAAUUAAUAAGGGUACCUACUCCAUGGUGACAUUUGGCUAAGGUAUUAGGAUUAGUACUUUGCAAAAUGCCUACGGUGUAUCAUGGAUAUUUGAUGAAAGUGUUUGGUCAUCACUGUGAUUUUAAAAUGAUCCAGUGACCUGGAAAUUCUGAAGGAUGGUUUUAAAACAGUUUUUUUCCCCUUUGUCAUCUCAGAGUGUAUUGGAUUGUGCAGAAUGGAUUCCUUCAGUAGGAUUACCCAUAGGCGAUGUCCUUCAUCUUAGUGUGACAGGGAAAGUGGGGGUGGACUCUAGGUAGCUGGACAUUUAUCUGAAGCUUGGUGAGAGAGUCUGCCCCUUGGCACUUUGAAAAGAUGAAGGGAUGGUGUGCAGUUUAGAUCGAAACUUUUAGAAACACAACACAGGAAGUUGGCCUGGUGGGAACUUGCCUAUGUAGUGGUGUAAUUUGAUCCUAGGAAACAGGGAUUUGUGUUUUACAGGUUUGUCUCUAUCAGAUUAUCACAGUGAGUUCCUUCAACUUCUCCUGAUGCAUUAUUCUUACACCUAUUGAUUGGUAGGUGUUGAGUUUUCAGUAUGCCACCUACCACCAUAUGUCUCAUUUCCAGUGCUAGGUUUUAAAUAUUCUCAAGAGAAAUCUCGACAUUCUAUGCCCAUAUCUAUGCAUGGUUACAUGAGGAGGGAGAUACAAGGAGCAGAAACUGUUUGCUAUUUGUUAUUUUUAUUGUUUAAAAGAGAAGCUUAACAAAUGAGAGAGAGUACUGAAGAGAAAUUCUAUUCUUCAAUCCUUUGGAUUUUUUUUUUGUACAAGUAGAUCAUCUAUAGGUUAAAAUAAUUAUGAAGCUUGGAAUUUAUCCAGUUGUGUAGUGGGUAAUUACACAAUUGCUUUGUUUAAUUAUGUGGUAUUUUAUAGGAGGGCAUUUUUAACCUUUGUCACUAGCACCAAAUGGAAGGAGACACAGCUCUUCAUAAUAAGUAUCAUAAUUCUAAUUGCAUCUAAGGUUUAUUUAGAAGCAAAUUAUUUUUAAAGACAUGCUCUAAUUUGUGUAAUUUUUUUUUUAGUAGGUAAAAAUUGCUGAAGUAAAUUGGUUUGUGGCAACAAAAGUAACAGAGGAAUAGCUGGUUGUUAAUAGUCUGCUUCACUAUUCAGAUUUCCUAAACCCAGCUCUGGCUAACACAGACGGUGCCAAUUCAUUUCUGAAACACGAGGCACAGCCUUAUAUAAUCAAGUGGCUCAUUAGAGAAGAUCAGAGGAUUUCAGAGUACACUUUAAAAAUCAGAACUAAUGUCCUGUAUUUAAAAAGGAGAUCAAAGUGGACAUAUUGUCCAGAAGAGCCUUUGCAUAUAUUACCCUUCUGUGUUAUUAUCAGAAGUGACUUUCACUGACAUUUGCUGUAAGUCUAGGUAGAAAUCAUCCUUGCUGUCUUGUUCUUCUUGGAGCCCUGAGCUGCCAUGGGAACAGGCCCAGCCCAGCUGACUAAGUCCUGACCAACAGGUGCCCGCUGACCUUUGUGGUCUCAGCUGACACCCACUAACUCCAUGAAGCAGGAGCACCUGGAGGCCUGGAAGCUGACUACAAACACAGGAUAAUAAAAUUAUCCCCAAUUGACACCUGCACCCCGAUGUUUCUAGCAGCAAUGUCCACAAUAGCCAAACUGUGGAAGGAGCCUCGGUGUCCAUCAAAAGAUGAAUGGAUAAAGAAGAUGUGGUUUAUGUAUACAAUGGA